UGCCAGACUCCUACGGGAGGCAGCAGUGGGGAAUAUUGCACAAUGGGGGAAACCCUGAUGCAGCGACGCCGCGUGAAGGAAGAAGUAUUUCGGUAUGUAAACUUCUAUCAGCAGGGAGGAAAAUGACGGUACCUGACUAAGAAGCCCCGGCUAACUACGUGCCAGCAGCCGCGGUAAUACGUAGGGGGCAAGCGUUAUCCGGAUUUACUGGGUGUAAAGGGAGCGUAGACGGCGAUGCAAGUCUGAAGUGAAAGGCGGGGGCCCAACCCCCGGACUGCUUUGGAAACUGUAUAGCUGGAGUGCAGGAGAGGUAAGUGGAAUUCCUGGUGUAGCGGUGAAAUGCGUAGAUAUUAGGAGGAACACCAGUGGCGAAGGCGGCUUACUGGACUGUAACUGACGUUGAGGCUCGAAAGCGUGGGGAGCAAACAGGAUUAGAUACCCCCGUA
rnacentral:rRNA from 1 species